rnacentral:rRNA from 1 species
AGUAACACGUGGAUAACCUACCUAUAAGACUGGGAUAACUUCGGGAAACCGGAGCUAAUACCUGAUAAUAUUUUGAACCGCAUGGUUCAAAAGUGAAAGACGGUCUUGCUGUCACUUAUAGAUGGAUCCGCGCUGCAUUAGCUAGUUGGUAAGGUAACGGCUUACCAAGGCAACGAUGCAUAGCCGACCUGAGAGGGUGAUCGGCCACACUGGGACUGAGACACGGCCCAG